ACUUUGUAUAGAUGACAUUUUUUAUUUUCACAUUCUUGUGCAUUGAAAAAUAAAACCACCGUUUACCAAAUGGAUAGAUACAUGGAGUGCUACCUCUGUGACUGUAUUUGAUAUUGAUUGUGAUUUAUUGAUUGCAGCAACUCCUGUGACAACCACGGGGAGAGAGCCCUAUGUCUCUGCAAUAUGCACCAACCGAACAAUGAGUUUCAUCGUACUGAUAGUGUGUAAGAUCCACACAGAGAGGAGCAGGGGAAAAGAGUGUGAUCUGCGGUAUCAUCACGGACGGGGCUUUGUGCAUGAAUGUGGCUCCAGAUUCAAACUCAUGACAGAGAAUCAGACUGUAUUCCUCCACCUGACCAGUUUAACACCAGAGGAUAGUGGGAACUACACCUGUGAGUGCACAUAUAGUGGUGGAACAGACUUUGUCCAGCUCAAUAUCACUGUGGAAGGUAAAUGAUUUAUUUUAUAAGCUUUGUGUGCUUUAUACUUGAUGCAUUUCUCUGGUUAGUUGCCGCUGUGUUGUAACAUCGUUAUGAAUGUCAGCGUGUCUGUGUUAGUUAAAGAAAUCAAACCUUAUUGUUUCACAAGUGGAAUUAUACAGUAUUGGAUUUAGACCAACAAAGAUUAUGUACUCAUAAUAAUAUACUUAGACUAAGAAACAGAGUGAAUGCUAGUGCUACUUUUCUGAAAGGAUUAUUUUUCUUUCUCAUGUUUAAGGAGACGAAGGUGACAGUAGUUCUACAGAACCAUAUUCACCAAAUGUUGUAAUCGGUGUCUUUAUAAUCAUCAUUAUAACUGGAGUUAUCUUGGGAUUUAUCUACAUAAAAUCUUGUCAUGGCAGACGACAGCCGGACCCAGUGGCCAGCCAUUCAACCAUGGAUCCACAAGACACUGAGCCGUACAACACCUUUAUACAGAGAGAGAAUUCACUUUAUUUUAUUUAACUGUCAGCAUUUACAGUUUCCAAGACAGGACACACAUUUAGGGCUGCUUUUGUAGACCUGUUGUUAAACAGUAUCUGCAGGACCUUAGGUGGCACAUGUUUUCUUACUGAAUAACCAGGGCAACAAUGAUGGCUGUCGUAAGGUGAUGUGAUUUUUCACUGCCAAUUUUGUCAUUGACCUGUAGCAC